rnacentral:lncRNA from 1 species
UGAAACCCCAUGAGCCAGAAAUCGUAGAGGAUGAACCUAUUCUUUAUAACACAAGAAAUAGUUCAAAUGUCAAGAAAAUAAAAUGCAACAAAAGUGACUUUCUGUCAUGUGUCAAAGAUAUUUUACUGUUUGAGAAAACUAUCUGAUUGAUCAUAGUAUAAAAGGAAGAAAAGCCAAUGCAAAGUCAAGCCAGUAUUAGAUAGGCC